UUGAACGCUGGCGGCAGGCCUAACACAUGCAAGUCGAGCGGAUGAAGGGAGCUUGCUCCUGGAUUCAGCGGCGGACGGGUGAGUAAUGCCUAGGAAUCUGCCUGGUAGUGGGGGAUAACGUCCGGAAACGGGCGCUAAUACCGCAUACGUCCUGAGGGAGAAAGUGGGGGAUCUUCGGACCUCACGCUAUCAGAUGAGCCUAGGUCGGAUUAGCUAGUUGGUGGGGUAAAGGCCUACCAAGGCGACGAUCCGUAACUGGUCUGAGAGGAUGAUCAGUCACACUGGAACUGAGACACGGUCCAGACUCCUACGGGAGGCAGCAGUGGGGAAUAUUGGACAAUGGGCGAAAGCCUGAUCCAGCCAUGCCGCGUGUGUGAAGAAGGUCUUCGGAUUGUAAAGCACUUUAAGUUGGGAGGAAGGGCAGUAAGUUAAUACCUUGCUGUUUUGACGUUACCAACAGAAUAAGCACAGGCUAACUUCGUG
rnacentral:rRNA from 1 species